UUAUGCAACCGUUGUUUAAGAGAGGUCAAAAAAGGCGAGUGGCGUGAGUAACAACGCCACGAGUAUUUUUUGACUCAGUUAAACAACGUUGCAUACAAUACUUUUUCUACGACCAAGCACUUACUUUGAAAUAAAAUUGUGAAUUUAACAAAUAUUUUUAAUUUAAGAAAUAGCAAAAAUGGAGGGUACGGGCGGGAAAAGAAUGAAUGAACGAAUGAAAUUAAAAAAAAAACUGUCUAUGGUUCACUUAUUUGUCAGAGAUGACAUUUAAAAUAAGGUUGACAACACUGUAUUUCAUUCAAUAUUCUUUAAGUGGUCAUUACACGAAGUAUCGUAAAAUCACCAAAAAGAUACUGCGUGUAUGC